CAUUCAAAUCCAAUAGUGUUUUAAAAAUACUAAGAAAUCGUCAUCUACAACAAACAAAGAAAUUCAACUGCCUAAAAUUUUAAAAAAACCUGUCAUUUACAACAAAAAAAAAAAAAGAAAUUCGGUCGCUUGAAAUUCAAGAAACUCAAGAAAUAGUCAUAUGCAAUUAAAAACCUAGGCCUCAAAUUGUGGUUGAAUUCCUCUUAGAUUUCCGCCGACUGUACGGCCAUAAGGCCGCCACCACGACCGAUUUCAGAUCCCCAAC
rnacentral:lncRNA from 1 species